GAACUUUGCCUGCACUGGAAGGGUGGGAGGACCUGGGAGGGAGGAACAAAAGUGGUUUUGUUUGGUGAUGCCGAGUUGACCGGGCAGCCUUGGAAGCCCUCACCCGGGAAGGCAGCGAGCUGUUUGCUUGUUUACUGAGAAGUUUCAUCUGUACAAAAAGGAGAUCUGGUUAGCUUCUGCUGAGACUUUUCAGUAGAAAAUGCUUCAAAAAAGAAAAGAAAGGAGCAGCUAUUUUGAAGACUGACUUUCUUAAAUUACAUUUAGAUAGCUUUUUCCAGGCCAUGCGGAGCAUAGCUCUUGGUAACUUUGGUCUCUCAUCUCAUCCUAGCAGCCCUUCUACCAGCAAAGAAAGAUUUCUUCCCCUUUGGCUCCAGCCACAAGAAUGACUUGCACUGCAUCAACGAAGACAGUGAUGGUUCAGGCUGCUGGAAUAGUGAUGUGAUUUUGGAAUACAGGUGAGGCUUGAUGGGAUGGAGUCCGGAGCCAUAGACCAAGAAAGAAUUCUUGAGGCGUCUAUGGUGCA
rnacentral:lncRNA from 1 species